GGCUCCGAAGUCCUUAAUGCUGACUGAGAGGGACCACAGCAGAGUCAGACUGUGAUCUGACAUCGUCUCGUUGUGUCUGGCUCUCCAGCUCCUGCGUGUCUUCUCACCUUGGCUGGAGCGUUGAUGUUGCCCGUGUGGUAUCCAAUCUGCAGGGAGCCCAGCACCGCCGCCAAGAUGGAGAGACAAAAUGCUGGAACCAUCUGAACUAAACAGACCUGCCGUUCAGCCGUGGCCUCUUUCUGAGAAGGGUUUAUGGAGAGAACCACUGCCCUGGGCUUCUGUUACAUAUCUCAUCCAUAAUGAGCUUUCCAGUCUCCUCAGAGGAUGGAUGCCACCCUCCCCAAGACUUCAAAACUCACAGAAGGUAUUCAGAUGUUUUCCUGUGCUCCUGCCAAUGUGUUGAGAGUGCACAGCAUCAUGCAGAUGUGCUCCAUGCGGCCCCACAUGUUAACAAUCCUUCUCCUAAAUGUACAUACUGUAAAUUCUAAAUAUGUCCAACAACUCUCCAGUGACGGUCCAAAGCUGCGACAGAGCAUGACAAGAUUUAAUGCCUGGCAGAGGCAGCAUGACUUAAAGAGAUCCAGGCCAUUAAGGACCAGCUAGGCAUACCUGAACACAAUGACCGUCUAUCUUAGUCAAGGCAGAAUGCUACCAUAUGCUCUCACAGACGUCUUCUGCUCAGUGCAAUCUUUCUGUGUCUCUUUCCCUUGAAAACAACUCACUUCAUCAACACUCAUCACCAGCUGAGAGAGCCCUAGUGGCAGCAUAUAAAGCUGUCAAACCAUUUUACUUAAGCUCUGACGCAUGAAGGUGAGAGAUUUGGUGUCUACAAUGAAAACAACUGGCCAUCGCUCCUUCUCUGCUCCUCUAAUACCGGAGCUGUUUAUCCUGGCGACCGUGCCCAGGGUCUAAGAGGUCUGACGUUACACCCGUCUUUAAGCCACUGUUCUCCAGACACGACAGGGCAGCGCCAGGGUAAACACAUGACUUCAGUCCAUUGUGGCACUGAAAAAACCUAGUGACUAGUCAACAGCAUCAGUAAUUGCUCAAUGGGGGGAAUCCUGACAGAUUGAAAAAGAAGAUCAAGAUGAGCAGAGAGACAAAAGAUUUCACAAACGUCUAAUAAGCACACAUGUAACACACCUCACAAAAGUACAUAUGCAUAACUAAAGUAUUCUGCACAUAUUGCAUAAGGCAUCAAUGUGAAAUAAUUAAAGGCUGCUUUGCCAACUAGGUUGAACUACUCCUAAACUGACAUAUUUUGUCAAAGUGCACGUUAAUGGGUUACUCGAUAAACAAUAAUUAACUACAGCACUCGAACACAGUUAGUGAGGGUGUAUUAGUU